rnacentral:rRNA from 1 species
CACGUAGGGGGCGAGCGUUGUCCGGAUUUAUUGGGCGUAAAGAGCUCGUAGGUGGCUUAGUAAGUCGGGUGUGAAACCUCCAGCUUAACCUGGAGACGCCAUCCGAUACUGCUAUAGCUUGAGUCCGGUAGGGGAGCGUGGAAUUCCUGGGUGUAGCGGUGAAAUGCGCAGAUAUCAGGAGGAACACCAGCGGCGAAGGCGGCGCUCUGGGCCGGUGACUGACACUGAGGGAGCGAAAGCGUGGGGAGCAAACAGG